GCAGCAGGCGCGUAAAUUACCCAAUCCUAAUUCAGGGAGGUAGUGACAAGAAAUAACAACUCGGGCUUCUUUUGAGGUUACGAGAUUGCAAUGAGAACAAUUUAAACCACUUAUCGAGUAACAAUUGGAGGGCAAGUCUGGUGCCAGCAGCCGCGGUAAUUCCAGCUCCAAUAGCGUAUAUUAAAGUUGUUGCAGUUAAAAAGCUCGUAGUUGAAUUUCUGGCCGGUGCUGUCCUUGACUCUAGCAGUCAGUUCAGGACUUGGUCAUCCGUAUGGGAAGCUAGCUCGGCCUUCACUGGUCGGUUAGUGGAUCAUACACUUUACUUUGAAAAAAUUAGAGUGUUUCAGGCAGGCAAUUGCUUGGAUACUGCAGCAUGGAAUAAUGGAAUAGGACUUUGACCUAUUUGUUGGUUUCUUCGAGGUCAAAGUAAUGAUUAAUAGGGACAGUUGGGGGCAUUCGUAUUUAAUUGUCAGAGGUGAAAUUCUUGGAUUUAUUAAAGACGAACUUAUGCG
rnacentral:rRNA from 1 species